AGAGUUUGAUCCUGGCUCAGAUUGAACGCUGGCGGCAGGCCUAACACAUGCAAGUCGAACGGUAACAGGAAGAAGCUUGCUUCUUUGCUGACGAGUGGCGAACGGGUGAGUAAUGUCUGGGAAACUGCCUGAUGGAGGGGGAUAACUACUGGAAACGGUAGCUAAUACCGCAUAACGUCGCAAGACCAAAGAGGGGGACCUUCGGGCCUCUUGCCAUCGGAUGUGCCCAGAUGGGAUUAGCUAGUAGGUGGGGUAACGGCUCACCUAGGCGACGAUCCCUAGCUGGUCUGAGAGGAUGACCAGCCACACUGGAACUGAGACACGGUCCAGACUCCUACGGGAGGCAGCAGUGGGGAAUAUUGCACAAUGGGCGCAAGCCUGAUGCAGCCAUGCCGCGUGUAUGAAGAAGGCCUUCGGGUUGUAAAGUACUUUCAGCGGGGAGGAAGGGAGUAAAGUUAAUACCUUUACUCAUUGACGUUACCCGCAGAAGAAGCACCG
rnacentral:rRNA from 1 species